GCAAGUCGAACGCUGAAGCAUCCAGCUUGCUGGGUGUGGAUGAGUGGCGAACGGGUGAGUAACACGUGAGUAACCUGCCCCUGACUUCGGGAUAAGCCUGGGAAACUGGGUCUAAUACCGGAUAUGACUACUGGCCGCAUGGUCUAGUGGUGGAAAGGGUUUUACUGGUUGGGGAUGGACUCGCGGCCUAUCAGUUUGUUGGUGGGGUAGUGGCCUACCAAGACGACGACGGGUAGCCGGCCUGAGAGGGCGACC
rnacentral:rRNA from 1 species